ensembl:lncRNA
CAAGACUUUGCUAAUGCACACUGCUAGCAGCUAGAUCGCUAUGGAGGACUGAGCUGUGCCAAUUAGCAGGUUUCACUGCUGCAUUCCGAGCAUGAUCAGUUUGCUGCUUCUGGCAUAAACCGUCACCUGAACCCCUGGAUGAAAAUAUUGCUUCUUCUCUGUCAUACUGAGAGAAUAUAUUUGAACUCUCUCGCUCCAGGUACAAACGUGUCUGUCAUGUUUGAAAUGGUAACAGUUAAAUACAUGUUUCUGCUGUCAGAAAUGCAGCAGUUAAAGCCUAAAUAAUAUCUAUAGGAUUAAGAUCCAAGAAACCUUACAAGAAAUCUAUAUGUAGUUAUCUUUCCACAUUUCCUCUCUCUCCCCUGUCACAGACCGUGACAGAAAAUACCAGCAGCGCUCUGCUAUGUGCGCUUAUCUCAUCAGCUCCAUUUUCGGGUGUGCGGAGCUAACGGUUUCACCUCAGGAGCUUUGUAGCAAAAUAAUGCACAUUCCUCUGUGCGGGAGGAAUGAAAAAAAAAAAAAAAAAGCAGGAUUGAGCCCAGAACGGGGGCAGGGGGGAGAGACGGGAAGGUUUUUUAAAAGAGUUUCCUGAAUAAUCAGGAAAUCCAGUGAGACAAACAGAAUGCGUGGCGAGCAAGCCAGAAUUAUCAAAUUACCAUGACAACCGUAGGCAAGAACCCAGAGAGAAUCAGGUAAAGAAAUUACAGUAGAAUUACACUGAGCUUCGUGUGUAUUUAUUUAUUUAUUUGAAAAAGCCCAGGCAGCCAGGAAGAAAUGUUUCCUUUGGCCUGGCUCGGUCUGGUGCAGAGGCUUUCUGAAACGCAGCCUUGUGUGCGGCCCUGACGUUGCUUUGUACAUGUGUGCAGCUCGCUUUGAUCUAGAUUUGCAUAUGCAGAUUGUUUUAGCCGGCAGGAUUUGAUGUCAGACAGAAAACUCAGAAUCACAGAUGCCUUAAUUUGUUGGAGAACGGGAACUAACAGAAAAAUCAGAGAAGGUGAAAAGUGCGUGCGUGCAUGCGCGUACACGUCUGCCUGCCUGUUUGUGCUGCUUUGGACACAAUCUCCCGGGCAUGUUCUGCAAGUGACUGCUUUCUUUCACCUUGGCUUAACACAUUCACAACCAAAAGCCUUCCAAACAACGUGCCCACUGAAAAAUAAGUGGGACUGGAGUGAAACUUAAAGAAUUUUGGUGCCCGUUUGAAAAAGCCCCGGGUUUUUACCAUCGGCUGGUGAAGCAGAUUAUCUGUGCAAUGUGAGCUGAAAGCGUGUGGGGUGGAGACUCACUUCCUUCGGUUUGUUCAGUUGCAGUGUGUCAUUUCACAUAAUGCCAUUCACAUACAGAGAUAAAAGCAUGCAAUUUUGAAAGGUGGAGAUCCACGUUUAGAGAAGGAAGGGGGCAAUGCGUUCAUCUGCAGGGCUGUUGAUUUGUUCUCAGUUUUAAACAAAGCCCUCAGAACCGGUCACAUUCCGGUACAUACACAGAAUCCCCCAGAUGCUCCAUUCUUCCUGUUCUGUGCCACUCGCCGUCUGACCGCUCCUUGGCGUUCCCUGCCUUCUCUGGGAGCACAGAUGCGUGCCCAUCUUGAUCUCGUUAGAGGCUGCCCCGGAGCGCACUGCGCGGCCGCGGCGCAGCAAUGCAGUGCUGUGCCCAUUGUUCCCGCUGUGAUGUCACGCACAGACUUCGCCCUGCUUAAACAGAGCGCAGUUUACUCAACUGCAGCAGAGGGCUUCAGGGAACCCACAUUUAUCACCGUGCAGAGACAGAAAGAAGUAACGUGUAAAGAAGUAGACGGAGGAAAACGGGUAUAAAUUCCGGCUGAAAUAUUUGCCACCUCUGUUUUUAUCUGUACUUGUUUAGAAGGAGAUAUGCACACUCAUUUCUAUGCACAAUCAGGCUGUGCAUAGCUCAAGGGUGUGUUUAUUUUAAUCUUGGGAACUAGAACAAGCCAAGAUUCACUCCCAGAACGUGCAUUGUCACUAAGAUCUUUUAAACAUGCAGUUUUAUAUCACACUGCUCAUUCUUUUUACUCACAUUAACCACACAUGGAGUCCGCAUAAUGGAUCUAAUCCCGCUAGCUGUCCUGUGAUGGUAAUGAGCACUAAAGGCACCAGGCAUGUUACAAGUUCAGUGGUGAAUUAAUUCAUUUCCACGAACAUCUGAGAACUGUAUGUGGUGAUGCCGAGGGGAAGAAAGGGGACGGCCCUUUAAUUAUGCUGGGAGAUCCUGAACUGGAGGGAAUUCUGAAGAGACUGAGUGGGGAGAAGGUCUCUCCUCCUCCUCCCUCCCGGCCUUACACAUCCCCAAGGGCAGUGCUUCCCACACAGGGACAGUUGGCAGGUAUGUGUUCAUCUUGUUCCCAGCACCUUGGAGGAGGCUCACUCUGUCCUUUCGAAGCACCGCUUCCUGUCCUUCAAGAGUUAACCUUUUCUAGAACAUUUAUUUCACCAUCUCAGGGAAAAAGGAAAAAAAAAAAAAAAAAGAAAGAAAAAGGAAAAAGAAAAAAAAAAAAAAAAAGCCCUGCAGAGGCAGAGCUGAGAGGCUGCAGAUCACAGGGCCAUUCUGAUAGCCUCCUGUCCCCAUGGCAACAGCAACGGCAUUUAUCAGUUCCUUAUGAGAGCAGGCACAGCAAAUCUGCAAUGCACAAAUGCACAUGGCAGCCUUCCAGCCUUUCAAAUGAAAGAGCACUUUGAACUGCUGCCAAGUGUGGAAGGAGCAGAGCUGUCAGGACUGCUUAAUGCUGGCAGUUUGUACUUGGGAGCCUUUCUGUUCCCAGAAUCCUUCAGCUGUGGCAGCCUGCCAGGUACUUAGCGGAAGCUAAAACUAACCCCCAGACCAUUCACUGCAGUGCACUCAAAAUUUUCCACAUGUACUGUGUCACAAGUGCAGACUGUACAAUGAAAGCAAACGCCUUCUGCUCGAGGUUCUGAUUUUAUUAAUAAUCUAGGAAAAAGUGAUCGGCGAUUAGCUGGCUGACAGCAGUACAGUAUAGCCACUGUGUGUAACUCUGUGCGCGUGUCAAAUGUGUAUUUCAUCCUUCAAAAACAGAAUUAGCUCUGACAGCAGAUUUGCGUGCAGUACCUGAGUGCUGGGCACAAUCAGCGGGAGCAGGAGGAGGAGCGUGCUGAUGUACAGUGGGGCAUUUUGUACCGAUCGUCAUCAGAUGCAUAGCAAUGAGGCACGGAAUAGAAAAAGAAGGCGGUGUUGCUGGCUGGUAAAUAUUUUCUGCCCUUAGCCUCUGCAUUUUGCUGACAUUGUGAGAAUCUCGGAAACUGGCUGAUGAAUGUAGCAGAAGUAGAUGGCUCUUGGUGGGUUUCCUUUCAAUGGAGAGUUUGCAUGUGAACUUUGUAUUGUUUUGCAUUACCCAAAGCACAAGGGCUUCUGUUGGCAGAGGAAACAAAUUGGCACGGUUCUGCUUUUUCUUUCUUUUUUUUUUUUUAAUCUGCACUGAGAUCAAGGGCAAGGGCUUCAUUUUCCAGCACUAGUCAUAAGCCUUUAGCACAAAUAGAAUGAAAAUUGUCUGUCGCUCAGGCAGUUGGACAGGGUUCAGGAAAACUAUGUCUGGCACUAAUUCCAAAGGGAAGGUUUGGUUCAAUCCAGCAUCAUUAAUUUCAGUAAACUGUUUUCACUAGUCUAUAUCCCACUGUUCGAGUGCUGUUUAUUAUCUUUUACUAAAUAAUGCCUUUUGGAGUACAAGGUAAUGAGAAAUGUCUUACAGGACACGAAUGUCUGGGUGCUCUGACAUGUAUGUGUACAUACACAGAGACUCAGUACAUGUGGGAGCACGUACAUUUUUUUAACUUCUCUUAUUUUUCUUAACAAUCGCUUGUUUUUUACCUUACCUUCCCAUUGCAAAGCACAUUUAUAAUGCCAAAUAUAAAACAGUAAAAAUAGCCCAGAAGGGGAGAGAGACAGAGAAGAAAAACCCCUGGAGCAAAGGCAAUCUCCACAAAUUUGUGAGUUUCACCACAAAACAAGGAAAUGCAUCGCCUCUUUUCAGCUUGCAGCUAUCUUUGGCUGCUGCUUGAAGCCUUGACUUAAUUCACCCGGGCAGCAGUGUCUAAAAGUAAUACGCCAAGACAGUUAAUUUUGGCACUUGGUCUCCCUUAGGAAUUUUACCAACAGUCUUUGAAAAGAAAGUAAAUGAUCUUUUUUUCCUCCGUGUCCCCCCAAAGCUCAUCUUGAUAUGUCCUAAUAAAGGAAACUGCCUUCCCCUUCUAUUCUCACCCUCAUCCUGUGUCCGUAAUAUCCUUCUUUCAAUAACAAAGUUAAUCAGCAUUUACAACGUGGUCUUAGAGAAGAAGCGGUUCAGGUCUCUUCAUACGGCCUAGUUACAGAGCAAAAGCAGCCCGUGCCAUGUGAAAUAACGGAAGGGUGUGUGGUUUCUUUUCCUUCCUUCCUCCUUUCCUUCCUCUUCCUCAUUUUCUUUUCCUUUUCAUUUUUUCUUCCUUUUCUUUUUUUUCUCUUCCUUUGCCUUUUUAUUUUUCCUUUCUUUUUUCCUCUCACUUUCUUGCUUGCUUCCUUCUUCCUUUUUCUUUUUCUUUCUCUCUCCCCCCUCCCCCCCCCUUUUCUUUUUUAAUUUGCCUCUCCUCUUCCCACCUCCCCCAUUUUUGGAAAACACAGUAAAGUUUUGUUCAGUUCUCAAGUGUUAUUAAUCACUGGCGGAGGCCAAAAGCAGGGAUAUUUUUCUUGGCAGAACGUUUUGAUAAACAAUCUGUGUAUGGGGUGAAGGGAGGGGGGCUGUCUUGCUGGUAACUAAGCUAAUGUUUGGCAGAUUCUUAGCUGUCACGAAAGUGCAAGUGGCUCUCAGUGGGAAUGGCUUGAAAAAAAUGUACCGAUUCAGUUGAUUCAUUAUUGUUGAUUGUUUACUACGUCCACAGGAUGUAAGAUGAAAACAGUCCAGGGACAAAGCAAAAAUAACAACAGUGGAGAGGACCCGGUCUCUACGUAUCCGAGCAUAAAAUGCGCUACCCAGUGCUGAGUCCCUUGCAGAGUUAGCAGAAUUCAUUAUAGGCGUCUUUAUUUUGCACUGUAAGAUUUGGCAAAGGUUAGUUAACGUAUGGAAAUCUGGGCUUGCAGAUGGGUUUAAAAACCAUCAAGUCAGCUGUAUGAAAAUCCAUUUGGGCUGGGUCUCACACCGUAACCACUUUCCAGAGCAAAAAUGGGACGUUUGGGUGGCGUGGGGCCACAAAGCUGCCUGGGUGUAGGUGGCAUCAGGGGCUGGCGCAGAGCGGGGCAGCUGCGGGUGCUGUGAGCGGCACGGGGAGCAGAAAUGUGGAAAAGCACCACCAAACUGGGCAGCACUUUGGGCAGCGGCUGUUCAGACACGUAUGAGUGCUGCAGGCCAGAGAGAAAGAAAAAAACAGGAAGGAUGAAAGGAAGGAAGGAGGGAGAAAGGGAGGGAGGAGGGAAGCAGUAGGCUCUGUGUAUGUCAACAAGGCUUGCUACCUGAAGGAUGGUAGGAAAAUACAGAAUUAUAAUGAGAUGAGAACUGAAAUGAUAAACAGAAACAUGUAAUUACACUCCCGUUCUUUGUAACCAGGUGUUUUGACACUUUGUGGCAGCUUCUAGUAGAAGACAAUGUUGUUCAACUUUGAAUUUGACAAAAUUCUGCAACUUCUACCUGAAGUGUUGGUGUUUUGAUUUGCUGAACGCGUUCCCUUUACCUACAAGCACUCCGUUCAUUGCUAAUCUCUACACGUUUUGGAAGCCGGUAAUUUGAUUGUGACGGAUUUUAUUUUAUUUGCCAUACUGAGGUAAAUCCACGUAAAUCACACUCUGGGGAGCGCUCUUUCCUUCUGGCCCCUGUAUUUUUUCCAGCUGUAGCCUCUGCUCUGACCACAGAGGGCAGAGCCCUUUCUGCGGCUGAGCGCCUCCAUCCCGAGCAGCUGCUGCAACUGCCACACCACGCAGUGCCACAGCUCUGCACCGCGAGCACCAAAGAGUUAAGCACGUUCCCAGGCUGGGAGCAUUUAGAGCAUUCUUUCCCAGACUGCCGAGAUCAUGGGCUCCUAAUUAUUGCUGCUUGCAAACGCUAGGGCUGUCCUAUAUUCCGCAUAAUUAACAUUGGACUGCUGAUCAAUAAUCAGCAAUAUUCCAGUGCCAAAAUCAAUAGCGAUCCCAGUGCUUUGGUGGCACAAGAGUAGAGCCUGGCAGACGUGAGGCUCAGGCAGGCACGUGGAAUGUGUCCCUUCUUCCUUCAUGGUGCAGUGCACCCUCUACUUCCUAGCAGCUGCAUUAAGAAAGGUGCUGGCCAGUCUGCACACCUCGUCUUUCUUACAAUCGCUUUGAUUCCUUCAUUCAAAUCCAAGGCUCACUUGCUGUUUUGGCGUUACGCAGAUGUGCGUGCGUGUGUGGUAUGGAAUACAGCAGGUAAGGGGAAUAAAGGGAAAAGGAUUCUUGGAUGGCACCGUUUAUCCUAGCCUGAAAGGAAGGAGUUAGACGUUACUUCUGGCAGUGAGAACUGUGUUCCUGUCCACAGGGACUGCUGAUGGGCUGGGAGCGACGGGCAAUGUGCAGAGUCCCAGCGCUGCACCCAAAGUGCUGACUCGCAUUUCUGUGCAAAAAGCAAUUGCGGAGCGGUUGUUCACAACUGCCGCUCGGUCUCUCCUGGUGCUCCCCUCCCUUUUAUUAAACACAUCGCUGUCCUUUUCCCCCUUACGCUGUUUUUUGUUUGCUUGCGUCUUUUUUUUCAUUGAGCCACAUCGGGCACCUGAAUGGCUUCAUUGUUCGGCCUUCCUCUUUUCCUCCUCCAAACGCAAUUUUAAUUCCUGGAUUAUUUCAGAGCUAAACAAACACCGGCCACGUUCAGCACAAAGCCCUCCAGGCCCGUGCGGCUGCCCCGGGCCCACCGCCAGCGCUGCAGGGUGCGGAGGGCACCAGAUGAGAUCGAUCCUGACAACUCGUUCUCCGUGAAGGUGCCACGGUGUGCCAUUUAUUUGCAUUUACAUUGCGGCUCUCUUCAUCAAUCAGCUUUCAGAGAUCGCCACCGCUGCUGGCCAUAUUGUUGCUGCGCCGACACUUCAUCUUUAAGUGCCACUUGCGUAAUGGUACGGUGCGUGCCCAUGACCAAAGUUUAAAUCGGGGUUUAAUCAUUACGGAAAAACAAACAUAUUUGCAGGACUGCGUAUCCCGCAAGUAAAAGUAAAGGCAGUUUGCUCGGGUCACAGAUGCUAAUCUCCGCUCUUUUUCUGUUCACGAACUAUAGAGGGAGUUGACAGCACCUGCAAAUGGUUUUCUGAGGCGAGAUUACAUCUAAGGCGAUUAUUAUUUACACCCCCAUAAAGGCAGCGGGGAGGGCGGGCUGCUCUUCGGAGCCGGGCGCCGCCAAAUAAGGGCCCUUUCGCAGGGUUCGGGGGAGCGGGGGCGGCUCCGCGCGGCGGGGCCCCGGUGCCGGCGAGGCCCUACGAGGCGCCGGGCCGCAGCUCCGCGCGGCGAGGGGAGAGCCGCGGCUCCGGCGACCUCCGCGUUCUAAGCGGGCCCGACCUCUUCCCGCCGCUCCUCUCCGCUUCUCGUGCGAAGAUCGGCGCGGGGCGGGAGGAGGACAGGGCUCUCGACCUUGCGAGAGCUGCGGCGAGCGGAGGUGACCCUUUCGGUCAGGUGAAGGCGCGCGGGCGAGCGAGCCCGGCAGCUGGCCCCGAGCCCCCCGGCCGGGAGCGCGUCCUGCCCGUGUGCGGGGCGCUGCGGGAUCGCUGCGUUAGAACGGAGCUCCUCGCGGAACGCUAUCUGCGCCGCCAGCUCGGCGUGCGCGCCGUAUUAAGCUUCUCCUUUACAACAGCUCGUCUCACGCACGUUUCAAAUUCGUUUGCCGGCUUCGUAGAUUAUAACCGGACGCAUACAAAACGCUUUAGAUAACUAAAAAUGGAAAUGAGACGCAGUGGCGAUACGAAAGGAAUUAUUUAAAGGAACAACUUUUCGUCACGUGAGUCGUGGAACGUUAUUAGCCGGGCACGAGGCAGCUUUGUGCUCGGUGCUCAGGCGCCAGUAAGCGGCCGCGCGUACGCGAGUGUGCGCUCGCACGCGUUUGUGUCCGGCUGUCCGCGCCCGCCCCGCCCGCUGCGCUGCGCUGCGCAGC